UGCCGCUCAACGGGCGCAGAGCAAGUCCUUCUCUUGGUGCUCAGUCAAAAGGAAUGCCAUCGAAAACGCAAGGAUAGCGAAGCUCGGAGCUGAAAUACUCGCUUCGUGCAAGCAGGAAAUCAUCACUAUGAACGUGAAGCCCGGCAUAACUGAGCACUCGGACAAAAUGUGUUGGGGCAUACAUGUGACAUACGCUCUCGCCGAAGACGACAGCCAUCUGCCCACAGGUGCGUACCAGGAGAAGUUGUACCAGUACAUCAUGACUUUAGUCAGU